rnacentral:tRNA from 8 species
GCCGAAAUAGCUCAAUUGGUAGAGCAACUGACUUGUAAUCAGUAGGUUACGGGUUCAAUUCCUGUUUUCGGCACCA